rnacentral:tRNA from 9 species
AGGGGUAUAGCUCAAUUGGCAGAGCGUCGGUCUCCAAAACCGAAGGUUGAUGGUUCGAUUCCUUCUGCCCCUGCCA